rnacentral:lncRNA from 1 species
AUAUUCCCCAAACAUCUGUAAUCUUAGCAGGAAAGCUUGUCUUCUUAGGUAUAUAAGGAUUCCCAUCAUAUUCUCACCCAGCAGAACAAAAGCAGAAUGGAUAUGUUCCUGAGUUUAAGAAAAGCUAGGUGAGUGUAUAUUCUGAGAAUUGAAGGACUGCACAUCCAUAUAGCAGAGAGGGAUGAUUACCAUGUAGGAGCUGGGAGGAAGAAUCUGAGAAACAGGCUUCUGAGUGGAAAGCUGAGGGGGAGAUUGGUUGUGUAACCACUAAGAGGAAGGACAAGGCACUGCCUACAAGCCAGAUACAAGAUGAUAUUCUUUGAGGAGAAUCAGUGGUAAUCAGAGACAAACAGGAAAAGGAUAUGCACAUACCCAUAUACCCACAUGAAACAGAUGGC